rnacentral:rRNA from 1 species
CCUACGGGAGGCAGCAGUGGGGAAUAUUGCGCAAUGGGCGAAAGCCUGACGCAGCGACGCCGCGUGAGGGAUGAAGGUCUUCGGAUCGUAAACCUCUGUCAGCAGGGAAGAACGGUCACUGUGCUAAUCAGCAGUGAAUUGACGGUACCUGCAAAGGAAGCACCGGCUAACUCCGUGCCAGCAGCCGCGGUAAUACGGAGGGUGCGAGCGUUAAUCGGAAUUACUGGGCGUAAAGCGCUCGUAGGCGGUAUGUCAAGUCAAGGGUGAAAUCCCCGCGCUCAACGUGGGAACUGCCUUUGAAACGGGCAAACUGGAGUGUGUGAGAGGAUAGUGGAAUUCCAGGUGGAGGAGUGAAAUGCGUAGAUAUCUGGAGGAACAUCAGUGGCGAAGGCGACUAUCUGGCACAUAACUGACGCUGAGGAGCGAAAGCGUGGGUAGCAAACAGGAUUAGAUACCCCAGUAGUC